AACGAACGCUGGCGGCAUGCUUUACACAUGCAAGUCGAACGGUAACAGGCUAAGUUGAUGAGUUGCGAACGGGUGAGUCAUGUAUCGGAACCUGCCCAGUCGUGGGGGUUAAUUGCUUGUAAGUGCGGCUAACACCGCAUACGACCUGAGGGUGAAAGCGGGGGAUUGCAAGACCUCGCGCGAUUUGAGCGGCCGAUAUUGGAGUAGCUAGUUGGCGGGGUAAAGGUUCACUAAGCCGACGACCAGUAGCUGGCCUGAGAGGACGACCAGCCACACUGGGGGUGAGACGCGGACCAGACUCCUACGAGAAGCAGCAGUGGGGAAUUUUGGACAGUAGGGGGGAGCCUGGUCCAACGAUACCACGUGCGAGAAGAAGGCCUUCAGGUUGGAAAGCGCUUUUGUGGGGGAAGAAAAGUUUCUGGCUAAUACGUAGGGUUCGUGACGGUACCUGAAGAAGAAGCACCGGCUAACUACGUG
rnacentral:rRNA from 1 species